rnacentral:rRNA from 1 species
GACGAACGCUGGCGGCGUGCUUAACACAUGCAAGUCGAACGGAAAGGCCCUGCUUUUGUGGGGUGCUCGAGUGGCGAACGGGUGAGUAACACGUGAGUAACCUGCCCUUGACUUUGGGAUAACUUCAGGAAACUGGGGCUAAUACCGGAUAGGAGCUCCUGCUGCAUGGUGGGGGUUGGAAAGUUUCGGCGGUUGGGGAUGGACUCGCGGCUUAUCAGCUUGUUGGUGGGGGAGUGGCUUACCAAGGCUUUGACGGGUAGCCGGCCUGAGAGGGUGACCGGGAACAGUGGGACUGGGACUCGGCCCAGACUCCUACGGGUGGCAGAGGUGGGGGAGAUUGCACAAGGGGCGGGAGCCCGAUGCAGCAACGCCGCGGGCGGGAGGACGGCCUUCGGGUUGUAAACCGCUUUCGCCUGUGACGAAGCGGGAGUGACGGUAAUGGGUAAAGAAGCACCGGCUAACCACGUGC